rnacentral:ncRNA from 13 species
GGCUCCUUAGCAUAGUGGUAUUGCGCUUCCCUAGUAAGGAAGAGGUCAUGAGUUCGAUCCUCAUAGGAGCCU